GAGUUUUCCUCGCAGAGUUACUGCGUUCGAGGAAGUAUCCGCUGGACGUUUCAUUUGAGGUUCCUGGCGGAGACCACGUGCCGUAUGACCCGUAUCCUGGACCGUACUUCUGAAAGCAAUCGCGAUAAUGGAGACCAGGUUUCCGGCUGUCGUAAACCAGGCGAGCAGCUGCCUCCAGCGGCGCCGCGCGUCGGCCUGCGUGUGCACGGCGCGCACUGCGAGCGGCGUGCGGCACAUGACGCCUACCACGAGCUUCACGCACGCGUACGCACGCUUCUGGUAGUGUCCGCGCGAGCGGGCCGCCGUCUCCAGCAGUCCCGGCCUCUCCUCAGACACACCCUGUAUCCAAGACACGUCGUAAUUGCUAAUAGCUAAAAUUGAUCAUCGCAUCAUUUGACAAUAUUGCUCAUUGUGUGAAUUCUCUAGCAUAACAUUUUAUUAUAUGCGCCGAAUUGGUAGAGUCUCUUUGCGACGAGUCUUGACAUGUGUGCACUAUAAAAUUGAGACUUAAAACUCGAUGUCCCAAGGUGGGGUGCCGCCAUUUUUUUCGUUUAUGUCUAUGAACUUCGGUGGCGACUCAACAUCAGGUGGGCCCAUAUUAGCAAUCAAAAAAUGUGUAAAUACACAAAAAAGCAGCAAAGCAAUUUGUUAGUUUCCUAAUUUUGAUCUUAGAGAAAAGUUAGAUAACUUAUUAAAGUAUAUAGCUAAAAAUUAAACUGUUUUUUUGUGCGUUUUAUACUAUCAACAACACUAAUCACGUAACAAGUUACGACAUGCAUACGUGGUGCUGUAACGUCGAGAGACAGAAGAUCAAGCGGGCAGUUUGUAAGGACCAACUCGGCAUUAAUAACAGAGUUGGUCCUUAAUUGUAAUUUCGCAAUACCAGAAGUAAGAUAACGGUUCUAUUAUACUUAUAAUGUCGAGAUUUAUUCGAAUAGGUCAAAUUUAGUACAGCCUUUAGAAACGCAUGUUUAUGUGUCGAUUUAAAUAAAAUCAUUUUACAUACAAUGAUUUUAUGGUUAAGCUCGAUAAAGUAAUGGCUGACCUUGAUAACGUUAUGUAUGCGUCGCUGUUGCCAGCUGUCCUCCAUGAGCAGCAGCGCGGUGAGCGCGUCGGCGUGGCGCCGCAGCUCGUGGCAGUACGCGUACGCCAUCUGCCACAACAGCUCGGACAGAGCCAGCCGAGACCAGCCCGCGUUUUCCCAGCACAGAAACUGUAGUAUACGGAUGCCUUCCUCGCAGCCGCAACACUCCUCUGUCAGUUUCUUCAUGUACGUCCUGAAUGUAAGUUUAAUGUUUAGUUAUAGUUGCAUCUAGUUCAAUUCAUUGAAACGCAUACUAUGAACUACUAGAUGUUAUUAAGUUUCAUUUUGUGAAGAAAAUGCUUAAAAAAUUACUCUAAUGAUUUUUUUAAAGGUAAACUUUUUAAUAGACAAACACAAUCGAGAUGACUAGGUAUAUCAAGAUUAUUGAUAACAGCGACUGAGUCACGAGGACGAGCCAGGCGGGCUAACACGUGUUCAAGGGUUUAUUCUUUAAUUUAAUUGCUUAAAUACCGAUGGACAGAAUAAACUUUCCUUUAAAAGGAGCGAUGGGAUUAUACGUUUUUUCAAAUGGUUGUGAAAUAUACAAGUACCCGGAUCUGUUGUAGAGUAUGUCGGCAACGAGGGGUGACAUGACAUGUCGGUCGGCGGGCGCCACGUGCGGCGGCUCGGCGUACGGGUUGGGCAACGGCGCCGCGCCCUCCGCCGCCGACUGACACCGCCCGCUAACGUCGCAGCACCGCAGCAGAGCGCACACCACCUGCCACAACAAAUUAUUGGUUUAAGAGUGGAAUAUGCAGAAUGGUGGUGGUAGUGGCACCCAAUCUGGCGUGCAAUAUUGACUAAAUUAAAUUCGAAAAUGAGCACCUGGUGUACUUUAGCAGAUUCUGGAUACUGGUAUUUUCCUCCGGACGAUGUAUCAUCUAUACAGGCCGAGAGAAUGAUGUCCAAGAUUUUUAACUAAAAAAAAACAACAAUACAUUUUCAAAUGAUUAGACAGAAAGAUAUCAGUGACAUAACAUGACCACAUAAAUUAAUAGAAAACAAAGCUACCCGGAGUAGUUGUAGUUUCUCCGUGAGUCCCAGGUUGGCGUAGGUGAGGAAGAGGUUAUAAAGCAGCGGCAAGUGUCGCGAGCCGUGUGCAUCGGGGUGCGGGGCGGUGAGCGCCCGCACGCUGCACACGAGCUGGUCCGACAGAGAGAGCGCCUCCUCGCGCGUGCACCACGAGCCGUAGCCGUUACUCACUGUGGAAUACCGACGACAUGUAUAUAAUGGUUUGAUGGUAGUAAUUAAAAAGAAAAGAGACAGUGCGCGAUGCAUGCGAUUUUUAACAGUUAAAAUGGUUUUCAAAAAGUUAUAAUAAGCUUUAAAGUGUUAUGUCAACUCGGUUAAAAAUGAAAAACAUAUAAUGCUUGCUACCUCAACGUUAUUUUGUACCAAGAUACAUAAAUAUCAUAAAAUUUUCUAAGCUAACAAAGAGAUAGAAAAGUGAUCUUGUGAUGCAGUCACAGCCCUGCCGUAGUGAAAUAACAACAGGAGAAAUCAGGAGAAGGAUAUAAAUCCGCAGAAUAUAUCGAUUAAUGAAAAUUGCGUGUAAUAUCGCUUUAUGAACGCUACUGCUUUAUGAACUUUAACAUGAACAAAAACUUUAGCAAAGGCACAUCUCUGCCACGAAGGUUACAUAAAAUUUGUGAACAUUUAACAAAAUCCCAUUAUUACUAUCUCAUUGAUCAAUGAGGAAAUUAAGUCAUUCUACAAUACACACUACAAUUACUGAAAAUAAAAAUUAAAUAUCAUUAGGUGAACUUUGGUUUUUUCACACAAAAAUAAGGACUCACCUGGUGGAUCUUCAAUUGAAAAAUGUGCUAGGAAAACUAUAAUCUUCAUAAAAACUAUUCUGAUUUCCGCUGUAGGGCAUGAUAACAAAUAAUCACAUAUUCUAUGUGGAUAUCUAAAUAUUUCAGUCCCGAACCACGCUCUAAUCGCCGAUGAACACCUCAGAUGUUGACAUAGAAUUUCGUGCCUGAAAAACAUCAACAUAAAUUAUUAUACAGCUAACUGACGUUUUACACACACAAACACAUACAACCUCAAAAGUAAUUUACCAGUCAGCCGCAGGUCCUCGCAAUGUUUUCUUUGUUCGAAAUCCCACUUGGAAUAAAAACCGAGUUGCCAAUUGUACCGCUAGCAUUGACAUUUCCUCUUGUUCAGGCCCCUAAAACAUUACGAAAUGAAUUACACGCACUAAGAUUAAGGCAACAAGAUCCAAAAACCUUAAAGAUAGAUAUCUUGAGUGAAUAAAGAAACAAAACUUUCACACCUAUGUACAUAGGUAUUGAAGUAUUAAAAGUACUUUGUACAAGUACUAAAACACGGGAAAUCUUAAAAAGGGCUUUUAACACAUAUUUAGGAUUCAACAUUGCAAUUCCUUUGCACAUCUUAUCAUUUUGUCGUCCGGCAACACCACAGUGGUGUCGUGUGCAAAAUAGAGGCCAACGGCAGGCCACACCACAGAACUUAUGAGAACUAACAAUGAGAUUAGUAAAACUUAACAAUUUAUAAUUACACGAUAAUGUCAAGAAAGGCCGGCGAAAAGUCAAGUAAUCCGAAUUAGCGCUGUCGACGCCCAGCGAGUAAAUUUUUACAAGAAGUGCUGACGGCAAAGUGUUAAAAUCUAAAAGCAGUGUUAUCUACUUACCCAAACAGUACUUUGUUGUACACAACCAUGUGUCAGUUGUAAUCUCAUACAACACAAUUUUUUCAUAAAAUUGAAAUGUUCGAGACUAAAUUGAUCUUGAUUAUGGGAGAAUGCAAUAUUGCUUCGACGUACUGACAUCCAAAUCGGCUGAGGUAUGGCACUUUCCCUAUAAUUAAUAUCACAACUUUAAAAAAAGCUAAAGAUAUGAAAUUAGUUUCUUAAUAAUGAUCAAAUAACUUACUUGAGUGUUAGAUUACGCAUUGAUUGCUCGAGACCGACUGUUUCUAUAGUAUCCUUCCUGGUAUAAAAUAGCAUGUAGGCAUUCCACCAUCGUUUUUGUCGUUUAUAUGAAAUCCUUUUCAACAUUGGAUCGUAAACCUAGAACAUUGUCAAGUUACGUACAGUUCAUACGUUAAAUAAGAAAGGCGUGUUAUUUAAUUAUUUCGUGGGUAGUAUUGUUUAUAUCAUAGAGAUCCUUACCUCUCCCAUAUAUUCACCACCAAAGCAUUGCGCCUUCAUUUCUUCAUCAUCGUGCAUUGCACACUCCGAUACAUCGCCAUCGUCUAAUUUUACCCAACGGCCAGUUUCGCUUCCGUUAUCCCUGUUUCAAUAGCCGUUCAUUAUUUUAUCAAUUUUUCAAUAAAUAAAGCUGCCUAUUCCUAUUUUUAUUUUGUAAUUUAAAAAUACCUUAAGAGCACGUAUGAAUAAUAGUGCCCACCGGAAGCCUGGCCGGAGUGUACAACGAUCCCGCUGAGUUGAUAAUUUGUUUCAGGCGUCCGCUCCUCGCCCCCCUCCCAUAGAGUCGAGUCACCUUCCGCUCGUGCUAGGCCCCACGCUAAAAUUAUUCCAAUAUUGUAAUAAUAAUAGCAAUAAAAAAAAAAUGUUUCUUGAGUUCAGAAGUGGGAUGCUUUUUUAAAUAAUAUUGAAUUACUUCACGUCUAACCUACGUAGAUUGACCAAAAAGGGGAACAGGAGUAAUAUUAUUUCGCGUUAAUUCAAGAAAAUCAAUAUAUUUUAAUAUAGCACUUUACAAAAUCUGACCUGUAUAAGGUUCGACGUCCAAGUCUCUCGGGAAUUCAAAAUAGUCAUUGAAUUUUAUUGCACACACUUUUUCGAAAUCAUAUUCAAAUCUUUUCAAUUGUAUAACUAAUACUGGGGGCAGUUUGUUCAGACAUAACCUUUUCACUGUCACCACCUUUACAUGAAAACAAAUAUUAUUGGUAAAUCAGUAAAGUUUAAUACUAUGUAUUGGUAUUACUAUGAAAAAUCAGGUCGUACCUUUUUAUUGCAUUUAUCACAGUGAUAAGCAUCAGCACCUUCUAACAGUUCACCACGGACAUAAGCUUCUAAUGAUUCUUGGAGACGUGACAUAUUUCUAAUAUCUAAAGACACAACACUGAACGGCUCUUCCUUACAGUAUCUGUAACAUUAAUAUUUCAAUAAGUAUUGUGUAUUCGACAUUAUCAUGAGGUGCAAUUACAGAUUUAGUAAAGUAUAAAAAACUAAUCUAAAUGGGUUACACAAUUGCUAAUAAGAUAUUACCUAUGCGGACAGCCUUUGCAGAUCUUUUGAUCAGAGUAAGUUCCUCCCAUCGUUUUUGCCAUCAAUUGAUCCUGUCCCAAAGACUUCAGAGCUUCAUCUAACGACUCGACCAACGACAUGAAAAAUUCAACUGCAUCCUGCUGUUCACGCAAGUUUACCGGUUCGCCCUGUAACCUAAAGUACAUUGAUACUGAAGUACAGGGCUACGACAUUAAAGUUUACAACUGAAAGUCUCAUAACAUGAGCACAUCAUUACCUAAAAUGGGCCCAUAAUCCUCUUGGAACAUAGUAUUGCAGUUUGCUGCAAUGUAAAUGUGCAAAUAUCGCCUGUACUUGUUUCAAUAUUGUGAUGUUAUAGUCAGUAUUAUUCUGAAAAUAUUCAUGAAUAUUAAAUUUGAAUUUUGUAUUGUAUAUUAACACAAUACAACCUUUGAUUACAAAGGUUUGGUGCAAAACUAACCUCUAUAUUAUUUUCUAAAAUACUGUGAUGGUGACUUUCUCCAGAAAAAUCUUCGUUGGGAUCUGUUGCUGCUCCUGUGUUGUUUUUUUGAUAAAUUAUAAUUACAUUAAUUUAAUAAAAACCUCCCAAUUAAAAAUUUUACAGUAUGUGAUUUUCAAUAAAGGGUAUUUUCUUCGCGAGCCAUCAUUAAGACAAAGGGACAUAUUUAAAACUACUUUUACGGUUUAAUUUCGCGCUCACACAUAGCAUAACAUUGAAAGGUCGACGAAUAACACCUCAAUGCAACAAAUAACACCUGAGACGUCCGUGACCACAAAAGGUAAAAUAGAGUAUUUGAAUCAUCGUAAAUAAUAUAAUGACAAUAAAUAUGUAAUGAUAGCAUAACUGUAA